rnacentral:rRNA from 4 species
CCUGGCGGCACUAGCGCGGUGGUCCCACCUGACCCCAUGCCGAACUCAGAAGUGAAACGCCGUAGCGCCGAUGGUAGUGUGGGGUCUCCCCAUGUGAGAGUAGGGAACUGCCA